AAAUCCCACUACGUAGUAUGUGAACGGCCCCUUAAUUUAAGUAAUAUUAAUAUUCCUUUUUUUUUAGUGGAUUCCCAUUUAGAAAAACCAACGUUCAAAAUUACAUAGGAAAUUUCGGUUGCCACGGCUCAGCAUUGGCCCUUUAUUCUUCCAUGACUGGCAAAUUACGGAAAAACUCCAAUGGCAAUACUUUUUUCCCCAUGUCGGAAUUAAUUGCUAGGCAAAGUUGCUUUUUCCGGCAGGGAUUAGACCAUAUAGCAAUUGUAUUCUACGCCUUCGCUUCCUUGUCAGUCAAGGCAAAAAAUUUGGUAAGAAUCAUUUUGGAUUUCAAAAAUGCUAAGAUACAACCGAGCGACAUUUCUUUCGUGUCGUAUGGCAAUGUUACCAUUCAAUGGUGGUACUGAAUUGGAUCCAUUUGUGGUUGGCGGCGAAGAACUCCUGAACAUUAUCGAACAUCGCCAAACACCAGAUUGGAUCAACACCCUCAAAUGGAGCUGUAAUGCAAGGAUAUUUCCUACUUGCCAUGGUCGCAACAAGGCGGCAGUUAGAUAUAUGGAUCCUUCGUUAGACCCGCAAGUAUCUCUACUAAGUAAAUUAAAUUAACUCUCAUUAACCUUACGUAAAACUCUACCUUCUUUCGGAUCGAUCAGCCAAUAGCAAACGAAAGACUGAGAUUGUAAAAGACACAGUCAAUCCAGUUUUCGAUGAAACUUUCGAGUAUACCGUCGCCCCGUUUUUUCACGUUUUUUCAUGCUGUCUAGCUUAGAAAGUAUAAGUUUUUUGUUUUUGUUUUUUGAAAGAUGUGGCAGCUGGUUUUCCUAUUUUGUGCGUAUGACUAUAAAGCAAACUUUUGGCAUUUUGGGAAGAAAAAAAAAUUCUUUAUUCAUUUAUUAUUUACACAUUUUUUGUCUUUGGGUUCUUGUGCCAUACUUAUUGUUUGUUUUAUAUUUUUUGAGCUUUGCAUUUACCUAUGGAUAAAGGGUUCUCGACUUGUGAUUCUCGCUCUCUGCCUCUCACUACCUGUCUCCUCUCAAUGUUUCCUAAUUAUACAGUCUAUAAACUACGUUUUGACUAUGUAUUCUCAAAAUUCAUGGAAUGUUUUAAACAAAAACGAAGUAGGUCUCGCCCAGACCAUUCCAUGCCGCCUUCCCGUAAUUUGGAUUCCCGCUUUCCGCUUCCACAGAUUAGGAAUCUCCUCCCUGGAGUGUCGGUACGUCGAGAUUCGAACCACAACAGGCCAUGCUUUUCCUCUAGCAGGUUGCAGUAGAUUGUUGUUCCUGAGUUUUUAAUUUGUUCUCGUGAAUUUCCAUUAAAGUGAGACAACUGCCCGGAAAAAAUGUCAAAGAAACUAAGGAAAAGGAAAAGGGCCCCUAAAAUUGUCUUACGCCAUCUAGCGGAGAACUAUCAAACUGUGAUUAAUGCCAGCUUAAAAGAAACAUUACAUUUCGGCUGUGUCCUCUGGCGUCAAAGUCAACACCAGAGUCAACUAAAGUUCUUCUGAAGUUCUCGGCAACGUUUUUAAGGCAACGAAAGUGGAAACGCUGGUGGUUUAUUAAUUUAACAGCGGUUCCACUAUGCACGUGUCAUAAUCAGUCAGCAGGAAAUUAAUUUUUUAAAAUGUGUUAUACAUUGGUUGGUCCAACAGCGUUUCCACUAUGCACGUGUCACAACCAGCCAGCUAGGUGGUUAUGAAAUGAAUUGGAUAUGGUCAUUGAUUUUAAUUUCUCGUAAAUGGGUAAAAUGGUUGAAUCAUUAUUGCUACAGCACAUUUAUGGUCUCACAUUGUUCGCUGUUGUUUCUCCUAGAAUUUAUUCCAACUAGCCAUUUGGAAUGUUAAGCUGUUCAUCAAAGGAACAAAAAAGAUGCUUGUUAAAAGUGUAUUUUUUAGAUAAUUCACGUUAAAAUGAUUUAUAAUUUUUAUUGGCUGCAUGUGAACUAUUACUUUGAUAUGAUUAUUCCUGUUAAGGUUCUAAGUUUUACCUUAAGAUGUCUUUAUUUGUGGUAGACCAGAAGCUAAACGGGAAAGCUUUUCAGCCGGAGAAUUCAAACUGUUCAGUCAAAGGAAGCCCAUUAUACAUCCAGCCAUGGAGUUAUCCAACUAUGUUGUUGGUAAUAACAUCCAUGCUACAUUUAUUUGUAUCUGCAGUUGAAACUAAAUGUAACUUCUUUCAUGUGGUAUAACAGUGUAACACAUUGAGCUUAUGGAAUGUUAAGUUGUUAGUUACGAUAGUUAAGCUUCUUAAUGUUGUGAUGUUAGAGCCAGUAAGUCUUGUUUAACAUAAGUUACUUUGAGAGUAUAUAAUGAUAGUUAAAUAAUCCAAAUUUGAUUUUUUUCCCCCCACCAGUCUGAGAUCUAACAUCUCAGAGCUAGCACCCUUCAAGCUUUGUGAUUGACAGGUUCUGAAAAGUUGAAGUACCAUAUGAGCUCCUGAAGGACUGAGUCUGAAAAUCUGCAGUACCACAUUAUUUGGUCCAUUCCUUUGCUGAGAUGUUAACGUGUUGCUGAUCUUACAACCAUGAUACAGAAUGAAAUUUUGUAUCGGUGUGGAACCGGUCAUAUUAACUCGUUCAUAAUUGACACCGAACUUUUCGACGUGGUCGAAGAUGGCACCCAAAAUAUUGCUGUUCUGUGUCGGUGCCAUCACACCGAAACGGUUGGCUAUAUGAUAGACGUCGUCUACGAUGGUAUGCUGGUCGGUUUGACUGGAGGUGCGUUAAUGGGCGCGCAUUCUCACUGUUAUGUGUAGCCAAGAAUGUGAUGGCUAAUUUUCUGCUUAGGAUCAGGAUGAAACAGUGGACUUGUUUAUGGUAAUGCCAUGAAGUAUACCAGGAGUAGUAACGGGUGUACAUUUUUUGCAUUGGAGAGCUUUGGGUCGCGAAUUUAAGCUCCAUAGAUGGUGUUGCGGCCGUUCGGUGUCGGGGUACCCUCCGGGGCCAAUGUCCGCAUGCCAGAAACAGCCCGACAACCCGCCACGCCAUCUACAGAGCUUAACAUGCGGAGCUCAAGCUGUUUUGCAGGCGUUACUACUCCUGGUGUACUUCAUGGUAAUGCUAACAUCGUCUGAUUUGUCAGGUGGAAUAUGGCUUCAAAGAAUAUUUAGAAAGCUUGUGCUAUGUAAAAUAUUAAUACUGAGGAACAGCUGGUUAAUUCUUGGACGAAUAUGACCAGGACGUCAUUAUCAGAUUUAGUAAGCGUCCACCAAGCAGUCACUGUCGAUACAGCGGAGCAUUCAAAAGCAAUUAGAAUUCGUCUACCAGGCGUGUUAUCUGAAAUCAGGAGCUGCUCGGCUCUAAAUAGGGACCAAAUGGAGACUUUGUGUGGGUCCUGGUCGGGCUUAAGAAUGGACAUUAACCCCAAAGAUUCUUUAUUUUGAAGCGCUAAGACUUGCUUCGGUAUGUUAGCCGUAACUGUGACCUAUAGUCGGGGUUGAGUAAGGAUUUUAAGGUUCAUUUAAUGACUUUCUCGGACUUUGUGAAGGUAAUACGCAUAUGAAAAGUACUACUACUAAAAGGUAUUUAAAACUGCACAGAACCAUUGUUUUGGGAGCAGAGAAUUUUAUCAUCAGAAAAAAGAAUUAGCUUACUUACCAUCGUUAUUGUAAAAUUCCCUGUUGAUUCUAUCCUAGUAUCUAUCCGUGUCUUAUCUUUAUUGCCUCGUCGAUAGAAAUUUAAUUUUAAAUCCUAAUAACGAAGUUAGAUUUUCAUAGUUUGAAUAAUGAUCCUACAAUUCAAUACCUUGAGAGAUUUGUGUUUAGAAACAUAGUUAAAUCCAGAUAUACCAACAGUGACAGUCCUUGGCAAGGCGGAUGGAUUGCAUUUGAACAGCCUGUGACUUCUGUGAGGAAUGUUACCAUGAAGGUUGCAUAGAUAACACUGUUGAGGAUUAAGGCUGCACUAGAAAGUUUUUCUAUCCAUCAAAUAUAAAUUUGUAUUGCAUUUGCCAUUUCAACGAAAAAUUGGUACAGAAUAGAAAUGCAAGCUAAGGGAUCGUAGCUUAACUUUCAAACGAAAACAGAAAAAAAAAUGGAACGCGGAGAGAAGAUAACUGCAGCAAGUGUGACUCGUCAAGGAAAACCGUCUGUUUCACUUUUUCCCACAAGCAGGAAAAGGUUGAGAUAGUAGCGAAAGAAUAGGAAAUUGCUGUAAAACCGGUUUUGAAUGAAUCCAAAUAUUAAAAUGAUGUAAUGAUAUGGGAGCCGAUCCUGCGAUAAGAAAAAACCCCUGAUCCAGCUAGUCAGCCAUGUCGAUAUUCGACAAACCAAAAGAGAAUUGCAAAAAUACGACAUCAUACCUUUCCUACUUCUGUGGGCAACUGUCGCCGAAAGAGAAUACCCCGUCUACAGAUUUGGAAGGUGAAAGUGAGAUCGAAAACUCUGCAGCAAUGAAGCAUGUCAUCCGCUGUUAUAGACCACAAUGUGUAAAUGCGUUGGUUCCGUGAAGUAAAUACUGCAGUGACCAGCGCGGUAAAAAAAUUGGCGCCAACUCGUACAUAUCAGAAAAUCCCUGUCUAGAUUUUGGCGCAACGCAUACACGAAUGGGGCUUAACACCUUGCAGAGCUGAAGAAAAUGAUAAGAAACAAUUAGUACAAAUGUGUAGACAGCAAAACAAAUCACGGUUUUCUGCUUGUGGUGAUGUGUUUCUUGUUCUAAUGCGCAAAAGGAACUAGAUAACCACAGCAAAGGCUAAUCAAUUUAUGCUUGAUAUAAACUUUGACGACGAAGCAGAUAUGGCAGGCGAAAGCGAAACGAUUGCGCUACUGUCCCGUUCGUUACUUGCGGCAUCGGUAUUACGGUCAGUAAAGCAUCCGACACAUGGAGGAAUGAUUCAACAAAUACGGAAAACAAACGGCCUUCAGUUCAAUCUUUCAAACCAAAAUAGAAUGCAUUAAUAUACUGCACGGCGUUUACAAUCUCAGUAACCGAAUAUACUGGAGGCUAUUUCGUGCUUCAAGUCCGAGGCAUUGCGAAAAUCCUAAGGUAAAAAAACUGAUGUAUAUCGGUAUCCUGUAGUACGAGUAGUCUUUGAAGAGGAAAGAAAGAAACGACGAGAAAAAUAAAGACUGAUUUGGACCGUUAUGGUUCAGCGAACGUGAAUUUUGCCACUUAUACUUCAUUCGCGUUCAACCAUAAAUUCCUGCAGCAAUAAUACUCGGGACACAAUGAGGACAAUGCAGAAUCCGACAAGAUAGUUGCAACCAAUAAAUAAGCCAACAAUGAAGACGAUUUGUUGAACGUCAUAGGCUCACAGCUCCAAGAUACCCAACAUUUAACAUGUACAUAAGCUAUUGGUCGUGCUUUUUUACCAUAUAAUUCGGCCGCCAAUUGAUUUUCUGGUGCCAUCUUUCGAUUGACUUUGUCUCCCUCGCUCUACGCUUUAGAAACGUUCGUAUUUUUGUGUUAUAAAUCACAAAACUAGAUGGCGCUGAUGUGCUUCAGUAUUUUGCUGUGCUUGACGUGUGAAACCGUGUUCCAAUAUUUGUAAGCUGUAAAACAUUCUUAUUAAAAAGUGAGAUUAAAUCAAAUGAUUUGCUGUCUACUGUUAAGUGUUUUCAUUCUUUAGUGAGUUUUUUAAGUGAAACACAUCAACUGGAUUAUUUUUAUGUGGAACGAGUGAUCUUGUGAUCAGCUAUGCCAGCUGACAAAUACAAAAUCUAUUACUUUUGCAUUCCAUCAUGCAAUUCUAUUACUCAUUGUGAGGAUGCUGAACGAGCAGAAAGUUUACAAAUGACACAAAAAUCAUAUGGGUUGGAAUACCAUCACCUCAUUCUGCUACUCUUUAUCGGUUCAUCAUAUCUUGUCAGUGCUGUACUGACAAGUGCAACAUAUGUUGUGUUGCCAACUGGAUGGAUUGGAAUACCUCAUGUAAUUCAUAUACUCUUUGCUUGCUCAUCUCAUUCUUAUCAUUAUUACUUUGCUAGCCGACACAUGUCUUUGCCUCGCCCUUCGCCCCUUUCUCGAAUCGUCCGCAGCCAAAUUUUAUUUCUACUUUGUCAGCCAACACAUGUCUUCGCCUUGUCCGUCUUUGCCUCGCCCGUCACCCCGUCUUCGCCUCGCCCUUGGUAUCUUGGCCAUCCCGUCUUCGCUUCGCACGUCGCUCCGUCAUCGCCUUUUAGUCGCCCCGUCAUCUUCUUUGUCAUCAUCAUCAUCUUUGUGGUAUCGUUGUAUUUUGUAAUGUGUAAUUAUGUAGUGUUAAUUAACCCGUUGGCUGCCACCCACUUUGAUCCCCUUUUUUUUUAAAGCUUGUUAGGGUCCGGCAGCGCUGUUCUACCCAAUGGUCUAUAUGCCAUGGGUGGGACAGUUGCACAAGCCGUGUGGCUCAAAGUCGAUCGUCGAGGCAAUGCACCAGUAGGGACUUCCCUCUUCUAGAUGUGGUGGUGGUUGCCUGGGGUGUGCAUUCCCAUAACGGCUUCCAUCAUCAUAUCAGCCCGGACUUGUCUUCGGACAAGUCCCCCUUGGUCGCUAUCCUUUCGAUAGCGAUGUAGCUAGCGUAGAUGUUACUGGCGUGGUAGCCAACGGGUUAGUUUUAUUUAUGUAUGUUUUGUAAUGUAUUGUAUUGUGAAAUGUAAAAAUUUGUGGUGGAUUUGUGGGUGGAUGGAGGGACAAUAAAAACUUUUACAUAUA